rnacentral:rRNA from 1 species
CACAUGUGACGAGUUUGACUCCUGGCUCAGAACGAACGCUGGCGGCAUGCCUAACACAUGCAAGUCGAACGAGACUUCGGUCUAGUGGCGGACGGGUGAGUAACGCGUAGGAACCUGCCAAGCAGUGGGGAAUAACAGCUGGAAACGGCUGCUAAUACCGCAUACGCCCUUCGGGGGAAAGAUUUAUCGCUGUUUGAGGGUCCUGCGUUCGAUUAGCUAGUUGGUGAGGUAACGGCCCACCAAGGCGACGAUCGAUAGCUGGUCUGAGAGGAUGAUCAGCCACACUGGGACUGAGACACGGCCCAGACUCCUACGGGAGGCAGCAGUGGGGAAUAUUGGACAAUGGGGGAAACCCUGAUCCAGCAAUGCCGCGUGCGUGAAGAAGGCCUUAGGGUUGUAAAGCGCUUUCACCUGUGAUGAUGAUGACAGUAGCAGGAGAAGAAGCCCCGGCUAACUCCGUG